AUUGAACGCUGGCGGCAGGCCUAACACAUGCAAGUCGAGCGGAGCGGCGGUCGUGUGAGUAAUGUCUAUGAAUCUGCCUUGUCGUGGGGGAUAUCGUCCGGAAACGGGCGCUAAUACCGCAUACUAUCAGUUGAGACUAGGUCGGAUUAGCUGGUUGGUGGGGUGAAGGCCUCCCAAGUGGACGACCCGUGACUGGUCUGAGAGGAUGAUCAGGCAACCGGGAACUGAGGCACGGUCCUGACUCCUACGGGAGGCAGCAGUGGGGAAUUUUGGACAAUGGGCGAAUGCGUGAUCGAGCCAUGCCGCGUGUGUGAAGAAGGUCUUCGGAUUGUAAAGCACUUUAAGUUGGGAGGCGUUACCAACAGAAUAAGCACCGGCUAACUACGUGCCAGCAGCCGCGGUAAUAC
rnacentral:rRNA from 1 species